AGAGUUUGAUCAUGGCUCAGGACGAACGCUGGCGGUAUGCUUAACACAUGCAAGUCGAACGAGACGAGAUGGAAGGAUCCUUCGGGUGACGGAAAUCUUAGAAAGUGGCGAACGGGUGAGUAACGCGUGGGUAACCUGCCCUAUGGAAAGGAAUAGCCUCGGGAAACUGGGAGUAAUGCCUUAUAAUAUAGUGAAGUCGCAUGGCUUUGCUAUUAAACGCUCCGGUGCCAUAGGAUGGACCCGCGUCCCAUUAGCUAGUUGGUGAGAUAACAGCCCACCAAGGCGACGAUGGGUAACCGGUCUGAGAGGGCGAACGGUCACACUGGAACUGAGACACGGUCCAGACUCCUACGGGAGGCAGCAGUGGGGAAUAUUGCGCAAUGGGGGAAACCCUGACGCAGCAAUACCGCGUGAGUGAAGAAGGUUUUCGGAUCGUAAAGCUCUGUUAUUGGGGAAGAAAAAAAGACGGUACCCAAGAAGAAAGUCCCGGCUAACUACGUA
rnacentral:rRNA from 1 species